UACGUAGGGUGCAAGCGUUGUCCGGAAUUAUUGGGCGUAAAGAGCUCGUAGGCGGCUUGUCGCGUCGGAUGUGAAAGCCCGGGGCUUAACCCCGGGUCUGCAUUCGAUACGGGCAGGCUAGAGUUCGGUAGGGGAGAUCGGAAUUCCUGGUGUAGCGGUGAAAUGCGCAGAUAUCAGGAAGAACACCGGUGGCGAAGGCGGAUCUCUGGGCCGAUACUGACGCUGAGGAGCGAAAGCGUGGGGAGCGAACAGG
rnacentral:rRNA from 1 species